rnacentral:rRNA from 1 species
AUUGAACGCUGGCGGCAUGCCUUACACAUGCAAGUCGAACGGCAGCACGGGAGCUUGCUCCUGGUGGCGAGUGGCGAACGGGUGAGUAAUGCAUCGGAACGUGCCCUGAAGUGGGGGAUAACGUAGCGAAAGUUACGCUAAUACCGCAUAUUCUGUGAGCAGGAAAGCAGGGGAUCUUCGGACCUUGCGCUUUUUGGAGCGGCCGAUGUCGGAUUAGCUAGUUGGCGGGGUAAAGGCCCACCAAGGCGACGAUCCGUAGCGGGUCUGAGAGGAUGAUCCGCCACACUGGAACUGAGACACGGUCCAGACUCCUACGGGAGGCAGCAGUGGGGAAUUUUGGACAAUGGGCGCAAGCCUGAUCCAGCCAUGCCGCGUGAGUGAAGAAGGCCUCGGUUGGUUAAAGGUCGUACUUUUCCGGUUGGGGGUAAGGAAAGUUAGCUUGGGUU